AAUAUAAAUUGCCGCCUAAGAGUCUUUUGAUGAUUUUUGCUUUGGCAGACUCUUGGCGUCAAUAGUCCACUCUAUCUUUUUAAUAGCGAGAGUUUUCCUUCUUUGUCUAUAUUGAUGCGCAAGGAAUUUGGUGCGCAACAUUCAAGCCCCGAUAUCAGACAGUUAAUAUCAACGGAUUGCAAUAAUAUUUACAUACCUGUGUAGAUAAUUCAUUUCUCAAUAAUGUUCCGUAAGAAUUAUGUAUUGACUCUUUCAAUUUUGCACGCCUGAUCAAUUUAAAUCAACACACUACUCACAUUUUCAAUUCCAAUCGCUGUGCCCGCUGUAUACGGCAGGUAGAUUUUAAUCGAUAACGCAGCCUAUUACACCGUAAUGCCUUCUUCUGAUUGGUUGAUAUUUAAAUAUUUCAUAACAUGGCGAGAGGUCAGUGAUUGUAUUGCGAUUUAAGCAGAAGUUUAACUGAAACAAAUUAUGCCUUUUAACUUCAAAUCGACGCUAUUUGAGCGGACACUAUGAACACCUCGGCAGAUAUUAUGCGUCCGCGGUGAUUCGCGGUGUUCGCCGUAUUGAAAACGGCCCCCGCGAACAUUUGAUCUGGACACCCAUCGCAGGGUUCAUUUGACUUGGAAAACUCACUAACUAUCAUAAGGGGACUGUACAGGGCUAGUUGCAUAACUCUGG